AUAGAGCACUUUAUUGAAAUGUAGUUUUUUUUUUUCACCUGGGACCAUCGUGUGGCAGCAGAUAAAUACAGAAAAAUAAUAAAAACUCCCAUCUUUAUUUCUCUAAAAUGAAAUAAGAAGCUACUUACAGAUGCUCAUCUCCACAACAUGUAAUUGUAAAUGCAACACUGAUGUCUUCACUUCCAGGUCAAGAAGCUGUCAAUGAAAAACUCAGUAGCCAAUGAGAACACACCACUGCUGGUCCCACCCAAGCGAGAGCUUUGUGCCAGAAAGACGAACGAAAACUCUGGGACUGGGACUAUGGGAUCGUAAACGAAAACUUCAGAAGCAUAAAUGAAAACUUUGGAAACACAUUUGUGCACCCGCUUUGCAAACUCUGGAUUAAACCUGAGUUGAUAGAGAAAGUUUAUACCGAGCGUUGUGCAACUGUUGAUCCUGAACUAAACCAGGUUGGAUUUAUCUGGAUUUGUCAACUCCAAACCUACUCUAAAACUCACUUGUGUUUGUGUGUAAAGUUUUGUUUAUGUUAACAACUUUUGAACCGUAUGGGCUGGAAAUAAAAUUAUUUUUUUCCUCUGA